GAUGAAGAACGUAGCGAAAUGCGAUACGUAAUGUGAAUUGCAGAAUUCAGUGAAUCAUCGAAUCUUUGAACGCAUAUUGCGCUCUCUGGUAUUCCGGAGAGCAUGCUUGUUUGAGUAUCAGUAAACACCUCAACUUCCAUACCUUUUUUGAAAUGGGAGUUGGACUUGAGUGAUCCCAACGCUUUUCCUCACCGAAAAGUGGCGGGUUACUUGAAAUGCAGGUGCAGCUGGACUUUUCUCUGAGCUAUAAGCAUAUCUAUUUAGUCUGCCUAAAAAACAGAUUAUUACCUUUGCUGCAGCUAACAUAAAGGAGAUUAGUUCUUGUGCUGACUGAUGCAGGAUUCACAAAGACGGCUUCGGCCGACUUUGUAAACUCGAUCUCAAAUCAAGUAAGACUACCCGCUGAACUUAAGCAUAUCAAUAAGCGGAGGA
rnacentral:misc_RNA from 1 species